rnacentral:rRNA from 1 species
CCUACGUGAGGCAGCAGUGAGUAAUAUUGGUCAAUGGACGAGAGUCUGAACCAGCCAAGUAGCGUGAAGGAUGACUGCCCUAUGGGUUGUAAACUUCUUUUAUAUGGGAAUAAAAUGUUCCACGUGUGGGAUUUUGUAUGUACCAUAUGAAUAAGGAUCGGCUAACUCCGUGCCAGCAGCCGCGGUAAUACGGAGGAUCCGAGCGUUAUCCGGAUUUAUUGGGUUUAAAGGGAGCGUAGGUGGAUUGUUAAGUCAGUUGUGAAAGUUUGCGGCUCAACCGUAAAAUUGCAGUUGAAACUGGCAGUCUUGAGUAAAGUAGAGGUGGGCGGAAUGCGUGGUGUAGCGGUGAAAUGCUUAGAUAUCACGAAGAACUCCGAUUGCGAAGGCAGCGCACUGGACUGCAACUGACACUGAGGCUCGAAAGUGUGGGUAUCAAACAGGAUGAGAUACCCCUGUAGUC